GAUCGUCUGGAAGGGGUGCCAAAAAGGUAGAUCCCCAGAUGAUCUAGAACUACAACUCCCAUGAUUCUUUGUAUUCCUUUAGAAUGACAAAGCAUCAUGGAAGCUGUAGUUUUAAAACAUCUGGUGAUCUACCUUUUGGGUGCCCCAGUUCUAGUGUGUU